CACGUAGGGGGCAAGCGUUGUCCGGAUUUAUUGGGCGUAAAGAGCUCGUAGGCGGCUCACUAAGUCGGGUGUGAAAUUUCGAGGCUCAACCUCGAAACGCCACCCGAUACUGGUGUGGCUAGAGUCCGGUAGGGGAGCGUGGAAUUCCUGGUGUAGCGGUGAAAUGCGCAGACAUCAGGAGGAACACCAGCGGCGAAGGCGGCGCUCUGGGCCGGUACUGACGCUGAGGAGCGAAAGCGUGGGGAUCAAACAGG
rnacentral:rRNA from 1 species